ensembl:lncRNA
GUACCUACAAACAUUCUUGAUUCUUUUUCUCAUGUUUUCUCUUGAAGUCUUUGGAACAUCGAGUGCACAGCGCCUCUCACUCCUUACAAGCCACGCCCAACAGCACUAUUCACAGUUUGGGCCCGCCCACCCACCCGAGACUGGCUGACCUGUGGGCGGCGGCUCAGGUGGAGCCCCAUCAGGUGGAGAUGCUGGGACACAUGGGUGUGACCAUGGCCGAAAUGGGAAUGGCGGAAGUGUAUGGUGAGGAAUCCGUUGUGGAGACCGAAUGCAUCCCAGAGCAGCAAGAGGAGGAGGAAGUCAAGGAGGAUGACAUAACACUUACCCUCGAACCCCAGCUGACAUCCGUAACUCCUGCCCUGACCCCUCCGUCUCUGAGAGAGGACUCCACCCCAUCUGGGGGCAUGAGCCCAGGGCAAGCACCAGCAGAGCCAGUGGUUGAGCACAUGACCUACGAAGUCACAUCCUGCGUCGUCCAAUCACAAGAGAAGAAAGAAGAGGUGGGGGAUGGGGCCGUUGUUGUUGUGGCAACCAACUGACAGUUUAAAUCGAGGGGCAUCCGGAAAAAACGAAACCGUCUGUGAAAUAAUCCGCCAGUUAAGCUAUUGUAUACGCUCUUUUACCCCAGAUGUGUAUUCGUAAGGACUGUCACAUCAGGAACAGAUUUAUUCGUUAUCAAACGCCGAAAGAACAGGGCUCUGGGCGCCUAUAGAGACUAAACGGGAGAGUGUCAAAGCCAGGAUGAUACAUUAUAUGUGCUGCUGCUGCUGCUGUUUUAUGGCAGGAGCGCUGGAGUCCAAGGCCGCUUACAAAUGAAAACGAAGAGUGCAAUACUGAGAAAUCAAUACAACCAAAAGAAAGUGCAUGCGUUUUUUUUUGUUGAAUAUUUAAGUGACUGAAUUAACAGUAUCCACAUAGUAAUAAUACAUAUUGAUUUUGUAAUAAAACUAAAAGCCAGUGAAACAAAUAUGUAUUUGUAUGUAUAUAUAUAUAACAUGUAUGUACUGUAUGUAUGUUAGUAUGAAUGUAUGGAUGUAUGUGUAUUUAAAGGUAUAUUCUGAAAAAAACGUUACGAAUUUGCCGUUUGCGUGAAGUGUCCCCUAGGUACCUCCAACACACUCGCACACACACUUACACAAACACUGAUGCACACACAAGUACACACCCUGGAAAACAUGUUUUUGCUCUUAAUAUAUCCAAGCACAAUACUGCCCAAAUGGAAACAGUGCUGCCCUUUUCAACAUCCUAACUGUAUUGUUACUAAGACUUAUGCACUACUAUGGACAUAAACGAAUGUAUUGCCUAUCUUCUUAGCGACAGCCCGGUUCUGUCCUCAAGUUUUUUUGUUCUGUUCUGCUUCAUUUUUCUCAUCAAUGUCUGUGUUUAUCCGUUUGCGUACUGCCUGGCGGAGCUGCUCAAUACUGAUUUGCACUGAACAACAAAAGGAAAACUGAAGAGUCAUCGUCGUCAUUCUGGGACAUUCUAUUAAUAUUCUCAUGCAAAAAGAGGAGUAAACUUUGGAUGCUUUUAAUCCGUUGAGGCUGAGACUACAGGAAACCAAACUGUGAAUCUUGAAGACCACUCAUGGAUCCAUUAAUUUCCAUUUUUGAUUAACUAACAUGUAGGAGCCAUUUAUAUCAUGCAUGCAUGCAUUUUCCAUGUUAUUUACGUUGUAGCUUUCCCUGUAGCUGACAUAAUGCAAAGAGAUAAACUCUCAUAACCUCAGUAAAAUCAUGUGGUAAUGGGCUAGUUGACAUGUUCUGUCAAAGUAUGUUUUUGUCACGACAGACCGUAUGACUGUGGAAAGAAGUGAAAAGAAGGUGCUUUUCUGGUUAAUGCUAGCAGGCUUUCCACUAAUUAUUUAAUAAACUGUCAUUUAAAUACCCGCUGCAGAAAGAAGUGCCCUCGACUACUAGCGUGCACGUUAAACCUUUGUCGAUACUUACAUAAGUUCCAAAAGAGAGAACAAAAAAAACAAAAAAAACAUUUUGCAACAUUAACACUAGGCCUAAUUUAGAUUUAGAAGGCAUUUGGUUUAGCAAUGAUUUAUAAUCUUUGAUGAUUUUGAGAGUUUUGAUUAAUGCCGUUAUGCAAUGCUGAGGUAACAUUUAUUUUUCUAUACUAAUGAGGCCAGCGAGUUCUCUGUCUUUGUGAUAUUUCGAACAUCAUAGGACUAGCAUCUGCCGAAUGAGAGUCAUUUUCAAAGUUCUAAUGGUUGUUUUUGGAAAUUCGAGAGCAGGCGAAAUGAGAAAGAUUGGAGUGGAUGAUGUCUCGUGUUCAACGAACAAAAUUAGAUUCUUUGGAAAGUAUACUUUCAGCAUCUUUAAUGUCACAGCUCUUUGUGAAAUGUCCAACAGAUGGUGACAUUAAUAGCUCACAGCAAUGAUGUCAUAAUUCUGUCAUACUCUGUGAAAUAUGAUGCAUUUAGUGCAGAAUGGCAAAGCAAGGCGUGAAAUCAGAAAUGAGUUUCUGAUUAUUGAGGAAUAAAAAAUCAAGCUAGGUAGCAGUCUUGCAGUUUCUUCAACUCCAUUCGGUGUCAUCCUGUAACCUCAUUCAAACCAUGUGCUGUAAAUAAAAU